rnacentral:RNase_P_RNA from 1 species
CAGGACAGUCUGUCGCUCGUGCAGAAUAGCACGGGAGGAAAGUCCGGGCAGCACAGGGUACCAUGCUGGUUAACGGCCAGUGGGCAGCAAUGUUCAGGUAGCGUAACAGAAAAUGACCGCCCGCAAGGGUAAGGGUGAAAAGGCGAGGCAAGAGCUCACCGCACUCGUAGCAAUACGACGUGGCAGUACGUCCCAUGGGCUGUAAGAUCAUGUAUAUCGACGACUGAGAUUCGUCUUGGUUAAGGGUUACCCGCCCGAUGUCGAGGGGUAGAUUGCUAGAGCCCAGUUGAGAGACUGGGUCGAGAUUAAUGGCAGACGCCAACAGUACUGCAUCCCGCACGCUGUUGGUACAGAACCCGGCUCAUAGGCCUGCUA